AUACGGAGGGUGCAAGCGUUGUUCGGAAUCACUGGGCGUAAAGGGCGCGCAGGCGGUUUGGUAAGUCAGAUGUGAAAGCCCACGGCUCAACCGUGGAAGUGCAUUUGAAACUGUCAGACUUGAGUACUAGAGGGGAAAGUGGAAUUCCCGGUGUAGAGGUGAAAUUCAUAGAUAUCGGGAGGAAUACCGGUGGCGAAGGCGACUUUCUGGCUAGAUACUGACGCUGAGGCGCGAAAGCGUGGGGAGCAAACAGGAUUAGAAACCCGGGUAGUCC
rnacentral:rRNA from 1 species